rnacentral:rRNA from 2 species
UGGUGGGUAGUUUGACUGGGGCGGUCUCCUCCUAAAGAGUAACGGAGGAGCACGAAGGUUGGCUAAUCCUGGUCGGACAUCAGGAGGUUAGUGCAAUGGCAUAAGCCAGCUUGACUGCGAGCGUGACGGCGCGAGCAGGUGCGAAAGCAGGUCAUAGUGAUCCGGUGGUUCUGAAUGGAAGGGCCAUCGCUCAACGGAUAAAAGGUACUCCGGGGAUAACAGGCUGAUACCGCCCAAGAGUUCAUAUCGACGGCGGUGUUUGGCACCUCGAUGUCGGCUCAUCACAUCCUGGGGCUGAAGUAGGUCCCAAGGGUAUGGCUGUUCGCCAUUUAAAGUGGUACGCGAGCUGGGUUUAGAACGUCGUGAGACAGUUCGGUCCCUAUCUGCCGUGGGCGCUGGAGAACUGAGGGGGGCUGCUCCUAGUACGAGAGGACCGGAGUGGACGCAUCACUGGUGUUCGGGUUGUCAUGCCAAUGGCACUGCCCGGUAGCUAAAUGCGGAAGAGAUAAGUGCUGAAAGCAUCUAAGCACGAAACUUGCCCCGAGAUGAGUUCUCCCUGAGACUUUAGGUCUCCUGAA